rnacentral:rRNA from 1 species
GGGAUGAAAAUUCUAAGGCGCUUGAGAGAACUCAGGAGAAGGAACUCGGCAAAUUAACACCGUAACUUCGGGAGAAGGUGUGCCCCGGUAGCGUGUAGAGACUUGCUCUCGAAGCGCGAUGGGGUUGCAGUGAAAUGGUGGCUGCGACUGUUUAAUAAAAACACAGCACUCUGCAAACACGAAAGUGGAGGUAUAGGGUGUGAUGCCUGCCCGGUGCCGGAAGGUUAAGUGAUGGGGUGCAAGCUCUUGAUCGAAGCCCCGGUAAACGGCGGCCGUAACGAUAACGGUCCUAAGGUAGCGAAAUUCCUUGUCGGGUAAGUUCCGACCUGCACGAAUGGCGUAACGAUGGCCACACUGUCUCCUCCUGGGACUCAGCGAAGUUGAAAUGUUUGUGAAGAUGCAAUCUACCCGCGGCUAGACGGAAAGACCCCAUGAACCUUUACUGUAGCUUUGCAUUGGACUUUGAACCGGUUUGUGUAGGAUAGGUGGGAGACUGUGAAGCCGGGACGCUAGUUUCGGUGGAGUCAACCUUGAAAUACCACCCUGAUUUGUUUGAGGUUCUAACCUUGGUCCGUGAAUCCGGAUCGGGGACCGUGCAUGGUAGGCAGUUUGACUGGGGCGGUCUCCUCCCAAAAGGUAACGGAGGAGUACGAAGGUACGCUUAGGGCGGUCGGACAUCGCCCACAAAGUGCAAUGGCAAAAGCGUGCUUGACUGCGAGACCCACAAGUCGAGCAGGUACGAAAGUAGGUCAUAGUGAUCCGGUGGCUCUGUAUGGAAGGGCCAUCGCUCAACGGAUAAAAGGUACUCUGGGGAUAACAGGCUAAUUCCUCCCAAGAGUUCAUAUCGACGGGGGAGUUUGGCACCUCGAUGUCGGCUCAUCACAUCCUGGGGCUGUAGUCGGUCCCAAGGGUAUGGCUGUUCGCCAUUUAAAGUGGUACGCGAGCUGGGUUUAAAACGUCGUGAGACAGUUUGGUCCCUAUCUGCCGUGGGCGCUGGAAAUUUGAAGGGGGCUGCUCCUAGUACGAGAGGACCGGAGUGGACGAACCUCUGGUGUACCGGUUAUGACGCCAGUCGUAUCGCCGGGUAGCUAAGUUCGGAAGAGAUAAACGCUGAAAGCAUCUAAGCGUGAAACUCGCCUUAAGAUAAGAUUUCCCGGAGUCUUGAACUCCCUGAAGGGUCGUCGAAGACCACGACGUUGAUAGGUCAGGUGUGGAAGCGCAGCAAUGCGUUAAGCUAACUGAUACUAAUUGCCCGUGUGGCUUGAUC